CAUUACUGGUAUUUGAACUUUACCUCACUUCUUCUGCCACACACACUUUGCCUCUCCUCUUUAUUCUUUAAAUGAGAAACCAGUGGCUUGUGUUUGACGGAACUGUAGACACACUGCGGAUGUGAUAACAAGGUUCCCACACUCGUCAAGAAGGGAAAAUCUCCUUGCCUGAACAGGACAUUAUUUUGCCCACACUCCGUGGACACCAAGAACAAAACCUGGUCUUCUUUUGAAGAUAAGCUGCCAAAGGGCUGGUGCUAUGCUGCCAACAGGUGGGAAACGCCUGUUGUGCUUCCUGGAUGACUUUAACGUAAUGGCACCACUUUGGCUCCCAGCCAAACUACAGACUACAGCUUCUGGAGCAACCACCAUGAACAGACCCUAAAGUGUGUGUAUGUGCGUGCAUUGUACUAAUUUUCUAAUUAUUAUUAUUAUUAUUUCCUUUAUUUGUAUUUUGUUUUUAAAUUUCACAUUUUAGGUUGUUUUUUUUAUUAAUUGAUUAGUUUUU